GACGAACGCUGGCGGCGUGCUUAACACAUGCAAGUCGAACGGUGACGCGCCUUCCUUUUUGGUGGGUGUGGAUGAGUGGCGAACGGGUGAGUAACACGUGAGUAACCUGCCCCCUUCUUCUGGAUAACCGCAUGAAAGUGUGGCUAAUACGGGAUAUUCUGGGUCUGUCGCAUGAUGGGUCUGGGAAAGAUAUUGUUUCGGUGGGGGAUGGGCUCGCGGCCUAUCAGCUUGUUGGUGGGGUGAUGGCCUACCAAGGCGGUGACGGGUAGCCGGCCUGAGAGGGUGGACGAUCACACUGGGACGGAGACACGGACCAGACUCCUACGGGAGGCAGCAGUGGGUAAUAUUGCACGAUGGGCGCAAGCCUGAUGCAGCGACGCCGCGUGAGGGAUGGAGGCCUUCGGGUUGUGAACCUCUUUCGCCAGUGAAGCAGGCCUGCCUCGUUUGUGGGUGGGUUGACGGUAGCUGGAGAAGAAGCGCCGGCUAACUACGUG
rnacentral:rRNA from 1 species